UCCUACGGGAGGCAGCAGUGGGGAAUUUUGGACAAUGGGCGCAAGCCUGAUCCAGCAAUGCCGCGUGCAGGAAGAAGGCCUUCGGGUUGUAAACUGCUUUUGUACGGAACGAAACGGCUCUGGUUAAUACCUGGGUCGAUGACGGUACCGGAAGAAUAAGGACCGGCUAACUACGUGCCAGCAGCCGCGGUA
rnacentral:rRNA from 1 species